rnacentral:rRNA from 1 species
AAGUCGGUUUCGGCUGACACUUACAGAUGAGCCCGCGGCGCAUUAGCUAGUUGGUGAGGUAACGGCUCACCAAGGCGACGAUGCGUAGCCGACCUGAGAGGGUGAUCGGCCACACUGGGACUGAGACACGGCCCAGACUCCUACGGGAGGCAGCAGUAGGGAAUCUUCGGCAAUGGGCGAAAGCCUGACCGAGCAACGCCGCGUGAGCGAUGAAGGCCUUCGGGUCGUAAAGCUCUGUUGUUAGAGAAGAACAAGUACGAGAGUAACUGCUCGUACCUUGACGGUACCUAACCAGAAAGCCACGGCUAACUACGUGCCAGCAGCCGCGGUAAUACGUAGGUGGCAAGCGUUAUCCGGAAUUAUUGGGCGUAAAGCGCGCGCAGGCGGUCUCUUAAGUCUGAUGUGAAAGCCCACGGCUCAACCGUGGAGGGUCAUUGGAAACUGGGAGACUUGAGUGCAGGAGAGAAAAGUGGAAUUCCACGUGUAGCGGUGAAAUGCGUAGAGAUGUGGAGGAACACCAGUGGCGAAGGCGGCUUUUUGGCCUGUAACUGACGCUGAGGCGCGAAAGCGUGGGGAGCAAACAGGAUUAGAUACCCUGGUAGUCCACGCCGUAAACGAUGAGUGCUAGGUGUUGGGGGGUUCCACCCUCAGUGCUGAAGUUAACACAUUAAGCACUCCGCCUGGGGAGUACGACCGCAAGGUUGAAACUCAAAGGAAUUGACGGGGGCCCGCACAAGCAGUGGAGCAUGUGGUUUAAUUCGAAGCAACGCGAAGAACCUUACCAGGUCUUGACAUCCUUUGACCACUCUAGAGAUAGAGCUUUCCCCUUCGGGGGACAAAGUGACAGGUGGUGCA